GAUGAACGCUGGCGGCGUGCCUAAUACAUGCAAGUCGAGCGAACAGACGAGGAGCUUGCUCCUCUGACGUUAGCGGCGGACGGGUGAGUAACACGUGGAUAACCUACCUAUAAGACUGGGAUAACUUCGGGAAACCGGAGCUAAUACCGGAUAAUAUAUUGAACCGCUUGGUUCAAUAGUGAAAGACGGUUUUGCUGUCACUUAUAGAUGGAUCCGCGCCGCAUUAGCUAGUUGGUAAGGUAACGGCUUACCAAGGCAACGAUGCGUAGCCGACCUGAGAGGGUGAUCGGCCACACUGGAACUGAGACACGGUCCAGACUCCUACGGGAGGCAGCAGUAGGGAAUCUUCCGCAAUGGGCGAAAGCUUGACGGAGCAACGCCGCGUGAGUGAUGAAGGUCUUCGGAUCGUAAAACUCUGUUAUUAGGGAAGAACAAAUGUGUAAGUAACUAUGCACGUUUUGACGGUACCUAAUCAGAAAGCCACGGCUAACUACGUG
rnacentral:rRNA from 1 species